UACAGAGGUCCCAAGCGUUGUUCGGAUUCACUGGGCGUAAAGGGUGCGUAGGUGGUGAGGUAAGUCGGAUGUGAAAGCUCCGAGCUCAACUCGGAAAUGGCAUUGGAAACUACCUUGCUAGAGGGUUUGAGGGGGGACUGGAAUACUUGGUGUAGCAGUUGAAAUGCGUAGAUAUCAAGUAGAACACCAGUUGGCGAAGGCGAGUCCCUGGAAAACUCCUGACACUGAGGCACGAAAGCUAGGGGAGCAAACAGGA
rnacentral:rRNA from 1 species